GGGAAACUGAGGAUAAUACCCCAUAGGUGUGGUGUGCUGGAAUGCUUCCACGCUCAAAGCUCCGGCGCUCCAGGAUGAGUCUGCGGCCUAUCAGGCUGUAGUGGGUGUAACGGACCCACUAACCGACGACGGGUAGGGGCGUUGAGAGACGGAGCCCCCAGAUGGAUUCUGAGACACGAAUCCAGGCCCUACGGGGCGCAGCAGCUACGAAAACUGUGCAAUGUGGGAAACCACGACACGGGCAUACCGAGUGCCAAGGCUUUGCUUUGGCUGUUCUUUCGCCUAAAAAGCGAGAGAAGUAAGGGCCGGGUAAGACGGGUGCCAGCCGCCGCGGUAAUACCCGCGGCCCGAGUGGUGCUCAUUAUUAUUGAGCUUAAAGCGUCCGUAGCCGGCCUCGUAAAUCUUUGGGUAAAUCGGGCAGCUUAACUGUUCGAAUUCCGAGGAGACUGCGAGGCUCGGGACCGGGAGAGGUUCGAGGUACUCCGGGGGUAGGGGUAAAAUCCUGUAAUCCUCAGAGGACCACCAGUGGCGAAGGCGUCGAACUAGAACGGAUCCGACGGUGAGGGACGAAGCCCUGGGGCGCAAACGGGAUUAGAUACCCCGGUAGUCCAGGGUGUAAACGCUGCGGGUUUGGUGUCGGAGGUCCUACGCGGGCGUCCGGUGCCGGAGAGAAAUUGUUAAACCUGCCGCUUUGGGGAGUACGGUCGCAAGACUGAAACUUAA
rnacentral:rRNA from 1 species